rnacentral:snRNA from 1 species
UGCUUUGCGCAGUGGCAGUAUCGUAGCCAAUGAGGUUUAUCCGAGGCGCGAUUAUUGCUACUUUUCAUUUUAUAACCUCCUAUAAUGUUCAAAUUUUAUUUCUGCACUACCUCUAUA